AUUGAACGCUGGCGGCAGGCCUAACACAUGCAAGUCGAGCGGAUGAAGGGAGCUUGCUCCUGGAUUCAGCGGCGGACGGGUGAGUAAUGCCUAGGAAUCUGCCUGGUAGUGGGGGAUAACGUCCGGAAACGGGCGCUAAUACCGCAUACGUCCUGAGGGAGAAAGUGGGGGAUCUUCGGACCUCACGCUAUCAGAUGAGCCUAGGUCGGAUUAGCUAGUUGGUGGGGUAAAGGCCUACCAAGGCGACGAUCCGUAACUGGUCUGAGAGGAUGAUCAGUUACACUGGAACUGAGACACGGUCCAGACUCCUACGGGAGGCAGCAGUGGGGAAUAUUGGACAAUGGGCGAAAGCCUGAUCCAGCCAUGCCGCGUGGAUGAAGCAGGUCUUCGGAUUGUAUAGCACUUUAAGUUGGGAGGAAGGCCAGUAAGUUAAUACCUUGCUGUUUUGACGUUACCAACAGAAUAAGCACCGGCUAACUUCGUG
rnacentral:rRNA from 1 species